rnacentral:rRNA from 1 species
AUUGAACGCUAGCGGGAUGCUUUACACAUGCAAGUCGAACGAGUGGCGGACGGGUGAGUAAUAUAUCGGAACGUGCCCAGUAGCGGGGGAUAACUACUCGAAAGAGUGGCUAAUACCGCAUAUGAUUGGAACGGCCGAUAUCGGAUUAGCGAGUUGGUGGGUUAAAGGCCCACCAAGGCAACGAUCCGUAGCUGGUUUGAGAGGACGACCAGCCACACUGUGACUGAGACGCGGCCCAGACUCAUACGGGAGGCAGCAGUGGGGAAGUUUGGACAAUGGGAGAGACCCUGAUCCAGCCAUCCCGCGUGUAUGAGAAGGCCUUCGGGUUGUAAAGUACUUUUGGCAGAGAAGCGGUAUCUGCAGAAUAAGCACCGGCUAACUACGUGCCAGCAGCCGCGGUAAUUC